GGGGUGUGCUCAGAGCAGGUGGCCUGAAGAAUGGCUCCUCUGUUUACAGCACAACCAACAGGAACCUGAGGUCAUUGUGAUGAGGGGCACGACACCAUGGCCUCUCUAUAAACAAAUGCCCUACACGU
ensembl:snoRNA